CACAAGCAGUGGAGUAGUGUGGUUAAUUCGACGCAACGCGAAGAACCUUACCGUGGUUGACAUGCAGGGGAAAGCUACAGAGAUGUAGCCUCGGCUUCGGUCGCCGCUGCACAGGUGCUGCAUGGCUGUCGUCAGCUCGUGCCGUGAGGUGUUGGGUUAAGUCCCGCAACGAGCGCAACCCUCGUCCUUAGUUGCCAUGCCGCAAGGCGGAACCCUAAGGAGACUGCCGGGGACAACCCGGAGGAAGGUGGGGAUGACGUCAAGUCCUCAUGGCCCUUACAUCCAGGGCUACACACGUACUACAAUGGUCGGUACAGAAGGUUGCAAGACCGCGAGGUGGAGCUAAUCCCAAAAACCGGCCUCAGUUCAGAUUGAAGUCUGCAACUCGACUUCAUGAAGGUGGAAUUGCUAGUAAUCGCAGAUCAGCACGCUGCGGUGAAUACGUUCCCGGGCCUU
rnacentral:rRNA from 1 species